rnacentral:rRNA from 1 species
GAGUUUGAUCGUGGCUCAGGACGAACGCUGGCGGCGUGCCUAAUACAUGCAAGUCGAGCGGAUCUUCAUUAGCUUGCUUUUGAAGAUCAGCGGCGGACGGGUGAGUAACACGUGGGCAACCUGCCUGUAAGACUGGGAUAACUUCGGGAAACCGGAGCUAAUACCGGAUAAUCCUUUUCCUCUCAUGAGGAAAAGCUGAAAGACGGUUUCGGCUGUCACUUACAGAUGGGCCCGCGGCGUCAUUAGCUAGUUGGUGAGGUAACGGCUCACCAAGGCGACGAUGCGUAGCCGACCUGAGAGGGUGAUCGGCCACACUGGGACUGAGACACGGCCCAGACUCCUACGGGAGGCAGCAGUAGGGAAUCUUCCGCAAUGGACGAAAGUCUGACGGAGCAACGCCGCGUGAGCGAUG